GAGAGGAUUGGUCUGGAUUUUUGAGGACAUGCAAGGACAUUGAUGAGGCAGAGCUUGUGAAUGCACCUAUGGCCCUUAUUACACUGAACAGGGACAACACCAGCAGUCCAGUUCACUACCAAUCUGAAAAUGUCUUGAUUGUUAUUGAAAGUGAAGUUGUAAUUACUCUUCCCAGGUUUGUGGAUGCCCUUGUGGUAAUGUUCAGUCUCAUAUAUGCUCUGCAUCUUAGUUAUCCCAAAGGACUAACAAACACUUUUGAAUUCUUUCAAAAGAUUUUGCUUAGUUUGGAAGAUGGCAAAUUGUCACCCAGACUGCAGACUCUAAAGAAUGAUUUGAUGAUAUAUACCUAAAAACUGAUCUGAGAAAGUGAUGUCUAGCCUUAAAAGAAUUGAAUUGAAAAAGUGCACUUUUGGCACUUAGUUUGAUAUGUAAUAUACUGAGUCACAGUAGUUGUUAAAUGUUGCCUGUUUCACUCCGUCUCACCACAAAUGUUGAGUUUGAACCAGUGUACUGAGCUCACUUUUUUGUUCAACUUGGAAGAAUUUAAUAUGUUCAUAAACAAUAUGUGCAUUUAAUAUGUAAUAUAAUUCAAAUAACAUGCACUACUUCAUGGCUGCCUGUAGUCUCAUCCAUUGUUGGUGUCAUUUUAAAGUUUCUUAACUUGAAAAGACAAUUUCAAAUCUAAUACUCUUAAUGAGAUGAGAGGAAGUCUAAGAUGUACACAUAUUAAAUUGUUCUUCAGUCUGAAAAUUGUUAGAAUCUGUAGCAUAUUGGCACAAUUGGGAACACUAAAAUCCUGUAAUCCAGAACAUUUGAUCUGACACUGAUGUAGAGGUAGCCAUAAGAAUUAGAAAGGGUUAAAAUUUAAAGAAGGAUAUGUUAUUUUAUGUAACCUGUUGCACUAUGUCUGUGUAUGUUAUGUAUUUUUAUAAUAGCAAUUUAUUAAUGUUGCAGUGAAUGUUCAAAUAAAACUUUUGAAUAACAGUA